rnacentral:rRNA from 1 species
CAGGAUGAACGCUAGCUACAGGCUUAACACAUGCAAGUCGAGGGGAAACGAUAGAGAAAGCUUGCUUUUUCAGGCGUCGACCGGCGCACGGGUGAGUAACACGUAUCCAACCUGCCGUCUACUCUUGGACAGCCUUCUGAAACGGAAGAUUUAAUACCAAGAUGGCAUCAUGAGUCCGCAUGUUCACAUGAUUAAAGGUAUUCCGGUAGACGAUGGGGAUGCGUUCCAUUAGAUAGUAGGCGGGGUAACGGCCCACCUAGUCUUCGAUGGAUAGGGGUUCUGAGAGGAAGGUCCCCCACAUUGGAACUGAGACACGGUCCAAACUCCUACGGGAGGCAGCAGUGAGGAAUUAUUGGUCAAUGGACGAGAGUCUGAACCAGCCAAGUAGCGUGCAGGAUGACGGCCCUAUGGGUUGUAAACUGCUUUUAUAAGGGAAUAAAGUGAGUCUCGUGAGACUUUUUGCAUGUACCUUAUGAAUAAGGACCGGCUAAUUCCGUG